rnacentral:misc_RNA from 1 species
UGAGCCUAUGGAUGCAACAACAAAUGGGGCUGAUGCCAAAGAAUAAGGCUUAAAUGUUUUCUGCCCUUCAAUUUUUUCAGUUUUGGUACUUUGUUCACCUUGUAUCUGGUUGGUUAUGAAAUGAUUUUAAUAUAGUGUCUAGACAUUGAUUUUAAUUGAAUUUCCCUUCAUAUUGCAUCUCAUUGAUAAAUAUAAGAAGGGU